CCUACGGGUGGCAGCAGUGAGGAAUAUUGGUCAAUGGACGCAAGUCUGAACCAGCCAUGCCGCGUGCAGGAAGACGGCUCUAUGAGUUGUAAACUGCUUUUGUACGAGGGUAAACGCAGAUACGCGUAUCUGUCUGAAAGUAUCGUACGAAUAAGGAUCGGCUAACUCCGUGCCAGCAGCCGCGGUAAUACGGAGGAUUCAAGCGUUAUCCGGAUUUAUUGGGUUUAAAGGGUGCGUAGGCGGUCGGGUAAGUUAGAGGUGAAAUCCCGAGGCUCAACUUCGGCAUUGCCGCUGAUACUGGUCGGCGAGAGAGUAGUUGCGGUAGGCGGAAUGUGUGGUGUAGCGGUGAAAUGCUUAGAGAUCACACAGAACACCGAUUGCGAAGGCAGCUUACCAAGCUACUUCUGACGUUGAGGCACGAAAGCGUGGGGAGCAAACAGGAUUAGAUACCCGAGUAGUC
rnacentral:rRNA from 1 species